rnacentral:tRNA from 1 species
CGGGGUGUAGCGCAGCCUGGUAGCGCGCCUGGUUUGGGUCCAGGAUGUCGGGGGUUCAAAUCCUCUCACCCCGACCA